UUUAAAGAGAGUUUGAUCCUGGCUCAGGACGAACGCUGGCGGCGUGCCUAAUACAUGCAAGUCGAACGAACGGAGGAAGAGCUUGCUCUUCCAAAGUUAGUGGCGGACGGGUGAGUAACACGUGGGCAACCUGCCUGUAAGUUGGGGAUAACUCCGGGAAACCGGGGCUAAUACCGAAUGAUAAAGUGUGGCGCAUGCCACGCUUUUGAAAGAUGGUUUCGGCUAUCGCUUACAGAUGGGCCCGCGGUGCAUUAGCUAGUUGGUAGGGUAAUGGCCUACCAAGGCAACGAUGCAUAGCCGACCUGAGAGGGUGAUCGGCCACACUGGGACUGAGACACGGCCCAGACUCCUACGGGAGGCAGCAGUAGGGAAUCUUCCGCAAUGGACGAAAGUCUGACGGAGCAACGCCGCGUGUAUGAAGAAGGUUUUCGGAUCGUAAAGUACUGUUGUUAGAGAAGAACAAGGAUAAGAGUAACUGCUUGUCCCUUGACGGUAUCUAACCAGAAAGCCACGGCUAACUACGUGCCAGCAGCCGCGGU
rnacentral:rRNA from 1 species